rnacentral:rRNA from 1 species
GGGUAGCCGGACUGAGAGGUCGAUCGGCCACAUUGGGACUGAGAUACGGCCCAGACUCCUACGGGAGGCAGCAGUGGGGAAUAUUGCGCAAUGGGGGGAACCCUGACGCAGCAACGCCGCGUGCGGGAUGAAGGCCUUCGGGUUGUAAACCGCUUUCAGCAGGGAAGACGCAGACGGUACCUGCAGAAGAAGCCCCGGCUAACUACGUGCCAGCAGCCGCGGUAAUACGUAGGGGGCGAGCGUUAUCCGGAUUCAUUGGGCGUAAAGCGCGCGCAGGCGGACCGUUAAGCGGGACCUCUAAUCCUGGGGCUCAACCUCAGGCCUGGGUCCCGAACUGGCGGUCUCGAGUGCGGUAGGGGAGGUCGGAAUUCCCGGUGUAGCGGUGGAAUGCGCAGAUAUCGGGAAGAACACCGAUGGCGAAGGCAGACCUCUGGGCCGACACUGACGCUGAGGCGCGAAAGCUAGGGGAGCGAACAGGAUUAGAUACCCUGGUAGUCC